UACGAAGGGGGCUAGCGUUGCUCGGAAUCACUGGGCGUAAAGCGCACGUAGGCGGAUCGUUAAGUCGGGGGUGAAAUCCUGGAGCUCAACUCCAGAACUGCUUCGAUACUGGCGAUCUUGGAGUCCGGGAGAGGUGAGUGGAACUCCGAGUGUAGAGGUGAAAUUCGUAGAUAUUCGGAAGAACACCAGUGGCGAAGGCGGCUCACUGGCCCGGUACUGACGCUGAGGUGCGAAAGCGUGGGGAGCAAACAGG
rnacentral:rRNA from 1 species